GGGGCCCACCUGCUCCCCGCACACGCACGCGGGCGGUGGGGCCCCUCCGCCGCUGCCGCAAACUACGGCUUGAGGGCGGGGACGGCCGCCGCCGCGCUAUUUCGGGAGCCGCCCGCGAACGGUCGGUGGUCUGGGUGGGAAACGGCGGGCAGCUCCCGUUUUGCUGCUAGGUGCGGGCCGUGCUGCUCGCCUAGCGAGAGCGGCCGGUAUCAUUGAGAUACGCGCUCACGCGGAGAGUCGUCCAUUUGCCCGGAGGGGCGAAACCGUAGGAAUUCCUUCGGCUCAUGUGAGCUAUUGGUUCCGCAGCUCCAGCCAGCCGGCGACCGCCCAGCUGUUAGAACAGCUUUGCCUUUUAUCCGCCUGCUCUCUGCUCCCCCCGCCCCACGCGGGGCUUAUAUUAUUAAUAGCCCACUGCUGCCUGCAUCCACAGCAGCGAGCCUCACCGCUUGCACAAGAAUCCACUCUAUCCGAGCACAUCCUGUCCAGAAUUUGCUUCGGGAUCGGGGACGGUAGCAGAGAGCAACUGAGAAGCACCAACUACCAUGAUUUGAGAGACGACCUGAAGAUCAGAGGAGAUGGAACACCAUGAAAGUGCACAUUAUGUCAAGAUUUAGUUCAGAUUGGAAUGUUCAGAACAGGGUGUUGAACUUCGCUUGAAAUUUACUUCAAUCUUCCAGUGAAUUGUUUGAGCAGGGCUAGAAACUUCUUGCCUUGAACGUAUGGGGUGAGAGAAGAAAGGCGAGGAGUGUUAAGGAUUAUUUAUUUAGUGGAGGGAGAGAACUGUUUCAUGACAGCAAGAAUGGCAUAUUGGGAAAACCCUAUUAGAUGCAACCAUUAUUGAUCUCAGCAAAAUUUCACACUGCCAUGAUCAGCUUAUUCUCUGUGGUAUUUAUUAUCCAUCAGUGCCACUAGGUAGGUACAUUUCAAAACAUUCUGGAACAGCAGAGACAGAGGGUAAAAUUCUUAGGUCAUUGUAUAUGCUGACAUAGCCUUAUUAAUCAUGCUGGACUGUGCCAACCUUAAGCAAGGGGACCUUUUUCCCCCACUGUGUUUGUAGGGUGUCUGAACACUUUAAGGUUAACCAAACGUUUAAUAAGGCAUUAUCGAAAUGCCUCUUGAACACUGGCAAGUAUGAGGCAACAAUUACCUUUCUCUGAAGCCUGUUGCAAUGUUUGACCAUCCUCACAGUAAUGAAAUUUUUCUUCAUUCCAGCCUGAACACCGUUUUUACAUUGAGUAGCUCAGAACUGCACCCAGUAUUCCACACCAACGCUAAAUAUAGUGGGAGAAUCACCUUCUCUGACCAGCUGGCUACACCAUGUUUAAUGCAUCCCAAACUACUGUUUGCCCUCUUGGCAGCCAGGGCUCACUGCUGGCUCAUGCUGAGCCUGCUCUUGACCAGCACCCCCAGAUCCCUUUCUGCUGAGCUGCUCUCCCACCGCUUGUCUCCCAGUCUGUGCCUGUGUCCAGCAUUACUCCAUCCCAACUGCAGCACCUGCCCUUGUUGAAUUUCAUGCCAUAUCUGAUCACUCUAUCCAUCUGUAUCCCUCUGCAAAGUCUCUCAGCCCAUCCCUCAGAAAGUCAACAGCACCUUUCAGUUUAGUAUUUGUCAGCAAAUUUGCUUAGGACACAUUCCACUUCUGCAUCCAGAUCACUGACAAAAAAAAAAAUACUGAAUCAAACUGGCCCUAGAACUGAGCACUGAGGAAAUGUUGCUAGUGAGACUGGCCACCAGCCAGAGGUAGCCCCAUUCAUGAUGUGACACUGAGCUCUGCCACUGAGCCAGUUCAUCAGUCAGCAUAGUGUGGAUGUGCUCAACUCACAGUUAAGCAAUUAAUCCAGAAAGAAACCGUGAGGGGCAAGUAUCAAAGGCAUUACUAAAAUCCAGAAAAAUUUAAUCCAACUCCUUAAUCAGCUAAGCAGGUGACCUAUCAUAGAAGAUCAAAUUACUAAGGCAGUAUUUGCCAUUUGUUAAACCACGUUGACUAUUCCUGAUAAUAGCUUUGUUCUUUUAAUGUCUUUCACUGGAACCCAAGAUAAUUUUCUCCUUAACUUCUCCAAGUACUGAGGUUUAAAGAUCUGCAUUUCCCUAGGUUUUCUCUCAUGCUCAUUUGGAGGCUGGUAUAACUCUGGCUAGUUUCCAGUCAGCUAGGACCUUCCUAGACUUUCACAACUUUUUGGGAGGGGUCCACGUAACGCCCACUAACUGUAAUACUGUGGAGUGAAUACCAGCAGGCCCCAUGGACUUACGAACGUGAAAUUAAUUCCUUACAAUUUCAGAGUCCACAAAAGCAUUGCCACUGCUCCCCCCAGUCACAGGCAGCCCAAGAUAUAUCAUUAAUACUAAAAAUGGAGGUAAAAAUGUCACUAAAAGCCUCUGCCUCUUCCUCAUCCAUACUUGUUAGGCAGCCAUUUUCAUCAGCUAUCAGUCCAGCGGUGUGCUUAAACCCUCUCUUGCUGUUGGCAUACUUGAAAAAGCCUUUUUUGUUGUUGCCUGUAUCAACUCAUGUUGAGCUUUGGCUUUUCUUGUUUUCUCCCUGCAGAUGCAAAUGGCAGCUCUGUAAUCUCCCUGUGAAUCCUAGCAUUGUUUCCAGAGAUCAUAUAUUUUGUUCUGCAGAAGAAAGUUCUGGCACCUAAAAAUCUUACCUGAAAUUGUAGAAUUGGCAAAUAAAUUGUGAAAA